rnacentral:piRNA from 1 species
UGAAGAUAUUCUAAACAGACAUUUGUG